CCCCGGCCCGGCCGUCCCGAGCGGGGGCUGACAGGACGCAGCCCAUCUGGGCCGGAGGGCAGGGCCGGCGGGAGGUGAUCGGCUUUCCUUCGGUUUCCCAGGGAGGAGGAAGGUCUGGGGUGGGGCGCAGGUGGGGGUCUCCCCUACCUCCCUCCCCUCGUCCCUCCUCCCCUUUGCCAAGUGAUCAGAGAGGCUUCCUGGCUGCACCUUCGCGGAGGAGAGCCAGGGUGGGCAGUGAGGUUGCGAGCCCAGGCCAGGGGUCGCUGGGUCUAGCAGCCAUUCAUGCCAGGAAAAAAACAAACAAACAAACAAAACCCCGGAAAACAAAAAACAGUGGUGUGGCGCAGUCCGACCUAAUGGCGUUCAGAGAAGCCCACCUUCCCAUAUCUGCCCUAGGAAGGCUUGAAUAACCCAGUGGUACCUGCUUGUUCAUGCAACCUGCUGCCUCCACCCAGAGCGGCCACUCCUUUCCUCCCUCCCUUCCCGGAAGAUGCUGAGGAUGACAGCAUUUAGCUUGACUCUUCUGUUUCUUUGGCAGAACAGUUAGAGGCCAGACUGGCCUGUGAAGGCAUCCCCUUCCUUCUUCCUCUGCUCAGGAGAAAACUUACAAACUUUUAUAUGUGCGAGGCAGAUGAGCUGGGAACCUGGAAGUGGGUUGCAUCUGAUUCUAAAAGUUCCUCCCUCUCGCUGGCAUUACCUUAUGCUGCCACAAAGUGGUGAGUUAGAGAUUUGCCUGGGCUGGGUGGGCUUUACCUUCCAUUCAUUACACAGCAUGUUACAGAUUGGAGCAAGGGAACGGGCUUGUCUCUGGAAAGGUGAUGAGAGAAACGCUGUGUGGUUAGCAUGCUACCUACAUCCCACAUUGCCCAUGCAGACCAGUGCACUUUCUUACAUUUUCCCUCAGGCCUCAAUACUGUCAGAUUCAGAAGAUUUAGGACUUUUUUUCUUUUUUCUUUUCUUUCUUUCUUUCUUUCUUUUUUUUUUUUUUUGUGCUCUAGGACAGCAGUCCCCAGCCUUUUUGGUACCAGGGACCAGUUUCAUGGAAGAAAAAUUUUCCACAUCCCAGACUGGGGAUGGGGGGGAUGUUGUUGGGAGGAGGGGCAUGCAGGGCUCAGGUGGUGAUGUGCACCUGUUUCCUAACAGGCCAUGGACCAGGGGUUGGGGACCGCAGCUCUAGGAGAUGACUAAAAUAAGGAAGUUCUGCUAUGUGGACAUUGAGGCUUGGUGGGUCUGUGGACCUGUCAUCUAGCUCCCAUCAUCCACUGGCUCAGGUCCCUGUAAGGCCAUCCAUCCUUUUAUGGUAGAGAGAGGACAGGCAUGUGGCCAGGGACAGUUGAGGGGCGUGUGGGCCAGCCUUUCACAGGAGAGGGUUUUUGAGAUGGUCCUAGGAUCUGUGUAGUUGUCCUAAAUAUUGGCCACCAGUGGGCUCUCAGACCUGGCAGGUCUGGCCUCUUUGGCCCAGCAGGCUCUUCCUGUGAGCAGUGGGUCCUGGGUUGAGAUUCAGGGUGGCAGUGGGAGAGGAGCUGGCAGGCCUCAAGGAGGCCUCUGUAUUGUGGUCAGAUCAUCCCAGACGCUCACUUGUGAGACACCUGGCUGAAGCAGCUUGGCAUAAACCUACAGGGGACUCGUGGAAGCUGGGAUGCCCUGGCUCAGAGGUGCGGAACUGAGGGGGGUAGGAGUAGAGGCAGCUGCCAUCCCCUUUGCCUGGAGUAGCUGAGCCGGCAGCAGACCUCUUUGGUCACAGGUGACGGGAGCAGGUGUCCCAGCCCUGAGCACCUUUCCCUUCCCUGUUGUGGUUAUGUCCGUGUGGUGAGUGCUGUGACAGCAGGGAGAGGGCCCAGGGAAUGGCUACUUGUUCCUGCCUCAAGUUCACGAUUUCUCUCUUCCCUACAGAACCGAUCACUGGGGACGGCAGAGCCUCCCUGGCAUUGCUGGGACCCUGCCUUGAAGAGCCCCCAUGUCGUGUAGACAGAGCCUUGUAGUCUGUCUUCUUGGUUAAUGACUUGGGCUGUCUGAGCAGUCCUCUUCUGUGCCUUGUCUGAGAUCCUUGUCCAUCCCUGAGAUCGGGCAGCUUCUCUCUCUGGGUUGGGUCACCUUAAGCGGGAAACUGAAGCCAUUACUCUCCAAACCCUGUUUCAUCUUCCCAAGCAUGUCGGAAAGCUGGCAGCAGCCGCCACAGACGCAGCCGCAGCAGCCGCAGCCACCGCAGCCGCAGCACCACGCGGAGCCACCGCCGGCCCUAGCCGAGCACACGCUGCCCCCGGGCACGGCUGAGAACCCCCUGGGCUGUGCCGUCUACGGCAUCCUCCUGCAGCCCGACCCGGGCCUGCAGCCCCCACAGCACGCGCCCCUUCAGGCAGCAGGCGAGCCAGGCCCCAAAUGCGGUGUGUGUGGUCACGACCUGGCACACCUGUCCAGCCCACACGAGCACCAGUGCCUGGCAGGCCACGACCGCUCGUUCCAGUGCACGCAGUGUCUCAAGAUCUUCCACCAGGCGACGGACCUGCUGGAGCACCAGUGCGUGCAGGCUGAGCAGAAGCCUUUCGUCUGCGGCGUCUGCAAGAUGGGCUUCUCGCUGCUCACCUCGCUGGCCCAGCACCACAGUGCGCACACCGGCCUGGUGAAAUGCUCCAUCUGCGAGAAGACCUACAAACCAGCGGAGGCAGCCGAGCCGGCCACCACUGCCGCCCCAUCGCUUCCCCCGGCUCCGCAGCCGGCUGCUGUGGCCCCUGCGGAACAGGCCGACAAGCCCUACAGCUGCCCCAUCUGCCAGAAGCCCUUCAAGCACCUGUCGGAGCUCUCCCGGCACGAGCGGAUCCACACGGGCGAGAAGCCGUACAAGUGCACGCUGUGUGACAAGAGCUUCAGCCAGUCCUCCCACCUGGUGCACCACAAGCGCACGCACAGCUCCGAGCGGCCCUACAAGUGCGCGGUCUGCGAGAAGACCUUCAAACACCGCUCCCACCUGGUGCGCCACAUGUACGCGCACUCGGGCGAGCACCACCUGUUCCGCUGCAACGUGUGCGAGCUGCAUUUCAAGGAGUCGUCGGAGCUGCUGCAGCACCCGUGCACGCCGAGCGGGGAGCGGCCCUUCCGCUGCGGCGAGUGCCAGAAGGCCUUCAAGCGGCCGUCGGACCUGCGGCAGCACGAGCGCACCCACAGCGCCGAGCGGCCCUUCAAGUGCGACCUGUGCCCCAUGGGCUUCAAGCAGCAGUACGCGCUCAUGCGGCACCGGCGCACGCACAAGACCGAGGAGCCCUUCAAGUGCGGCCUGUGCGAGAAGGGCUUCGGGCAGCCCAGCCACCUGCUCUACCACCAGCACGUGCACACCCUCGAGACUCUCUUCAAGUGCCCCGUGUGCCAGAAGGGCUUCGACCAGUCGGCCGAGCUGCUGCGGCACAAGUGCCUGCCCGGCGCGGCCGAGCGGCCCUUCAAGUGCCCCGUGUGCAACAAGGCCUACAAGCGGGCGUCGGCGCUGCAAAAGCACCAGCUGGCCCACUGCGCGGCGGCCGAGAAGCCCCUGCGCUGCACCAUGUGCGAGCGCCGCUUCUUCUCCUCCUCGGAGUUCGUGCAGCACCGCUGCGACCCCGCCCGCGAGAAGCCGCUCAAGUGCCCGGACUGCGAGAAGCGCUUCAAGUACGCGUCAGACCUGCAGCGGCACCGGCGGGUGCACACAGGCGAGAAGCCUUACAAGUGCCCCAACUGCGACAAGGCCUUCAAGCAGCGGGAGCAUCUCAACAAGCACCAGGGCGUGCACGCCCGCGAGCAGCAGUUCAAGUGCGUGUGGUGCGGGGAGCGCUUCCUGGACGUGGCCCUGCUGCAGGAGCACAGCGCGCAGCACAGCGCGGCCGCGGCGGCCGCCGAGGGCGCCUACCAGGUAGCCGCCUGCUUGCCCUGAGGCGCCACGGCCCCUGCAGGCCUGCCCCAAGUCCGCGCCCUGGGCCCACCAGGCCCAGCCCAGCCAGCCCCCCACCCAGCUCCGUGUUCUGCGGCCCUGGGAGUGAGGAUCUGCUUUCUUGAGAGCCAUCAGCCUCCCUUAUUUCUGGAGGAUUGGAACCAGGCUGGAAGUCAAGUGGCCUCUCCCUGCCCCAAGGAUGGGGUGAUGCCAGCCCAACCUCCCCAAGCUUUCAACCUCAUUAGAACCAGAUAGGUUAGAACAGAGGAUGGUCCUGGGAGGUCUGGGAGAAGGGCCCGGACCCCAGAGGUGGGCUGGGUGUGGGGCAUCAAGUUGCUGUGUGGGGGAGAAGGCCAGCUCUGUGAUGUAGUCCUGGGGGCCAGAAGGGCAGACCAUGGGCCACAGCCCUCUGUCUGGUCCAGCCAAGGGCAGUGUGACCCCUGGUUUCUAAGAUGUGCAGGAUGGGGGUCUUUGGUCUGGAUCUGCCUAGAGACCAGUGGGCUCAGCCAGAAGGGAAAGCAGAGAGGUUGCUGUGACACCUCAGCCAAGGGACAGUGCCAUCCAUGGAGAAAAGAGGAAAGGCAGCCUGCUUGUGCCGAGGGCUAAUCCCACAGUUUUGGAAACACCCCUCCUACCUUUGCAGCAUGGGUCCGGUGUGUGGUGGGGAACGCGCCCUCCAGCAGGCAAAACUGCUGGUGUGAAAGGAGGGGAUCACUAGACCACCCAGGGCUGGGAGGAAUCAGGACCUAGCCCGUGACCUUCCCAGCAGAGGCAACGUCCUCUUCCUGAAUUGUAUGAACCAAAGUGUCGGGGGCUCAGCCCCAAUCAGCUUGCCCCAGCCUGCCCCAGAUCCAAGACCAGGCCUGGGCACCCAGUGUGGGGGAACAGCCUCUGACCCCACAGUGCCCUCCCAGCCCAUGGGAAUACCACCCCCCCAUCAGCCUGGCUGCUGGCCGAGACCCCAGGGGUCCUGUGCUGCCAAGGUGUCCUGGACUGCAUCCAGCUACUUCAAAGGCCAGAGCAUUCUUUGGGUCCUCCUAGAGUCCCUCUAGGUGUCUGGCUGUCCACAGGGCCCAUGGAGCAGAGGGUGCCCAGGGCAUGGGGCGGGGGAGCCGAAGGAGCAAGUAGGUUAAGGAAACCAGAGGUGCCUGGCAGAUGGAUGGAGUUGACUGCGUCGCUGGACAGCCAGGGUCCCCCUUGGGCAGCCGAGAAGGACCUUGAUUAGCAAAAUAAUCUUUCUGAAGCCAGCUCUGCCUCCUGCCCUCUUCCAGCGCCGCCUCUCCCUGGUCGUGGGUCUUGAAAGAAGACCAGUCAGUGCACACCAAGGGCCCAGAGGGGCAGGGAGAUGCCACCUUGCUUCUCUCGUACUGUGAGAAGUCUGAACAGCUGCGUUCGCCUCCGCUAUCAGACUGGGUUCCCUCCUGUGCCUGCAGAGAGGGGCUGCUCCUUCCCUCGGUGCUGGCUCUCUGUCACAAUGCCUCAAAAGACAUGGAACCCAGGCUUACAACAGUCGCAACUGCUAAUUUGUUCCUUUCAUUUUGCUUUCUAAAAGCAGUUUGUUAUACUAUUCAUAUCAUUGUAUAGUUUAAUUUCAUGUCAUUUUGGAUCUUAUAUAACAAUGUGAGAAUCUGGAUUUUUAAAAAGAAUGACUCCAUUUUCGGUAGCCACUUUUGAUGUUAAUGUAUAGUGAGCCAAUGUAUGCUUUAGAAGUGAAGACACUGACCAUCAGAGACCAAA